AUUGAACGCUGGCGGCAUGCCUUACACAUGCAAGUCGAACGGUAACGGGCCUUCGGGUGCCGACGAGUGGCGAACGGGUGAGUAACACGUAGGAAUCUACCCUUAAGACGGGGACAACCCAGGGAAACUUGGGCUAAUACCGGAUGAGAGUGCGAGAGAUUGCAUUUAAAAGGAUGGCGAAAGUUGUCGCUUAGGGAUGAGCCUGCGGUCUAUUAGUUAGUUGGUGAGGUAAGAGCUCACCAAGGCGAUGAUAGAUAGGCGGCCUUAACGGGUGGUCGCCCACACUGGGAUUGAGAUACGGCCCAGACUCCUACGGGAGGCAGCAGUCGAGAAUAGUCUACAAUGGCCGGAAGGCUGAUAGUGCGACGCCGCGUGAACGAGGGAGCCCUUCGGGUGUAAAGUUCUUUUCUAUACGAGCAGUGCUAUAUAUAUGGAUAGUAUAUAUAGAGGGAUAGUAGUAUAGGAAUAAGCAACGGCUAACUCCGUGCCAGCAGCCGCGGUAAA
rnacentral:rRNA from 1 species